UGCCCAGCCACUUCUAUCGCUACCUCCUCGUGGUACUGGCCGGGGUACGAGUAACCUUGGGGAAGAUCGGGUAACCAACCCCCGGUGGGAACUUUGGUCGUAUGCUGACAGGGAAGG
rnacentral:ribozyme from 1 species